AUGUCGAAUGAAUAGAGCGCCA
rnacentral:snRNA from 1 species